CCCCCCCAGGCUCCUCCCAGAAAGAGCGCGAGGCGGAGGGGAGGGGCUGCACGUUCCUGGUGUUUGCCUAUUAGCGGGAACCAUCAGCGGACAAGACACCCCCGUUUCCUGGACUCCUAGGGGCAGAGCCCUGUGAGAGGAGGAGGCACCACCUCUUCACCUAUUCGCUGGACUUUGCCUAGUUCGGGCCGGGCAGGUCCGGGCAUCUCGGCCCCACAGGCUUCUAGGGAGGAGGAGGGGCACACUUCUUUGUGACGUUUACCAGAAAUGGGCGUGGCCAACGGAGAGACCUCUCCCACAAGGAGAUGAGGACACAGACAUGUACAGAGGAAAGACCAUGUGAAAACGCAGGGAGAAGACACCAUCUGCAAGCCAGGAUGAGGGGUCUCAGAAGAAAUCAACCCUGCCAACACCUGAGCUCACACUUCCAGCCUCCAGAACUGUGAGACAAUAAAUUUCUGUUGUUUUACUCAGUCUGUGGUCAUUUUUAAAUGGCAGCCCUAGCAAACUAAUACAGACAUCUUUUUAAAUAAGUAGGGAGAACACCCAAGGAAUGGGACGGUGCUGUCAAGAGGACAUGGAGAAGAAAACUCUUGAACCAAGGAGGACUUAGAAACACGGAGGAGGACCUGGAUGUGCCCCCAUUUAUGAUGGCGCUAGAGCCAGUGGCUUCUCUCUUGCUCGCUCUAGCUGUCUUUUCUUAAGCUCUGGGAAAGUGGUAUUUAGCUCUCAAUUUCCAGGGCUCUCAUUCUAUAUUUUGCCCCAGGGUUGUCACUAAAUCCAGUUUGGUCAGCAUUAGGUAAGUAGCUCUUUGGGUGACUGAGUGGGGUGGAGUGAUGUCCAAUAAACAUCAAGGCAUAAUGGGCAGAGCCACAGGAACCAGGACAUGGCAUGGAGCGAGCCGUGGCUGGUCCAGAGCAGGUGCAGGUUUGUGGUGGGGAGGUGUGUAUGUGCAGUGCUCAGCUUGCCACUACGAAAGCUCUUCACUUGAGCUACCAUGUGCAGACAUUGAAGAAAGGAGAGCUGAAAGACAUAGGGAGCAUCUGGCUUAUACCUAUGAACUUAUAAUUCCAUACAAUUUUUAUUUUACUUUUAAACCAACACCCCUCCCCUUUCUAAGAACCACUCUUGGUUAUCAAUGUGCUGGUUGUUAAUAUGAACCUUCUUCCAAUAACUGCAUGUAAUUAAAAAUAAUGAUCCAUUUCUUCAUGGAUGCUCUGUGUUAAAAUGUUAACAAAUUUCCCGUCAAAAUUUCUCCCCCUCCUACUUUUGCCUGAAAGAGAGAAAUUUCACAUAUUUUGGAACCUACGAAGGCUUUCCUUUUUUGGUAUCUGGAGUUUAGUCUUCCAUUGGCAAAAUCAUCUUAGUUAUUCUAGGACUAUCGCAUCUUCAAUUUUAGCCAUGGAGCUCAGCUUAGACGGUGCUUCCCAGAUUGUGGUGGUCCUAUCACUAGUGUCGUGUAAAGUCAUUUUAUAUGGGAAAAUAAAAACUAAAAUUUUGGUGAUGACUCACUUAUUUUAAAUGUUUUAAAAUUAUUUUCAAUACAUCAAAAUUAUUAUUUCAUGAAUUGCAGUUUAGCUAAGUUUAAGAAUCAAUGAAUUGAAUAAAAAAUUAAAUAAAAACAGUACAGGUGUAAAGAGCAAAUACAAUUUUAAAAUAAGAGACUGACUUCUCCCUGUUGAAAAUAAGAAAAAUAAAGAAAGAGAUACCUCCUUCCUUUUCUUAGAGCACUUUAGAGAUUUCCUAAUUGUAAUUGUUUUUCUCUGUCUCUUUGAAAUGUAUGUAAAUCUCUUUAAAAGCUAAAGAAGUCUUUUCCAGCUUUAUGACCAGGAAUGUCUUUUCUUAUGAACCUGGGACUCAUCCUUUUGGAAUAUCGUUUACAAGGAAGAUGGCUGCCCUCUCUCCCAGCUUCUGUGAAAAGAAUGCACCUGCCUGAGGGUGGGGACCAUAUCUGUUUUGUUCACCUCAACAAUCCCGGUAUCUGCAAGAGUGCUGACACAUAGGAGCUUCUCAAAAACAAUUCGUAAAUGA
rnacentral:lncRNA from 1 species